rnacentral:piRNA from 1 species
UCACUUGAAUACCCCCGAAAG